GACGAACGCUGGCGGCGUGCUUAACACAUGCAAGUCGAACGGAAAGGCCUGCUUUCCCUUGUGGAUUGCGGGUACUCGAGUGGCGAACGGGUGAGUAACACGUGAGUGAUCUGCCCCCAACUUGGGUAUAAGCCUGGGAAACUGGGUCUAAUUCCCGAUAGGACUGCAGGGUGGUGCCUGUGGUGGAAAACGAUUUUCUAGUGGUUGGGGAUGAGCUCGCGGCCUAUCAGCUUGUUGGUGGGGUAAUGGCCUACCAAGGCGGCGACGGGUAGCCGGCCUGAGAGGGUGGACGGCCACAUUGGGACUGGGACACGGCCCAGACGCCUACGGGAGGCAGCAGUGGGGAAUAUUGCACAAUGGGCGGAAGCCUGAUGCAGCGACGCCGCGUGGAGGAUGACGGCCUUCGGGUGGUAAACUCCUUUCGACCGCGAGGAAGCCACCUGGUUGGAAGGGUGGUGACGGUAGUGGUAGAAGAAGCACCGGCUAACUACGUG
rnacentral:rRNA from 1 species